rnacentral:rRNA from 1 species
AGUGAUCCGGUGGUUCUGUAUGGAAGGGCCAUCGCUCAACGGAUAAAAGGUACUCUGGGGAUAACAGGCUGAUACCGCCCAAGAGUUCAUAUCGACGGCGGUGUUUGGCACCUCGAUGUCGGCUCAUCUCAUCCUGGGGCUGUAGCCGGUCCCAAGGGUAUGGCUGUUCGCCAUUUAAAGAGGUACGUGAGCUGGGUUUAAAACGUCGUGAGACAGUUUGGUCCCUAUCUUCCGUGGGCGCUGCAAGAUUGAGAGAGCCUGCUCCUAGUACGAGAGGACCGGAGUGGACGCACCUCUGGUGUACCGGUUGUCACGCCAGUGGCAUUGCCGGGUAGCUAAGUGCGGAAGAGAUAACCGCUGAAAGCAUCUAAGCGGGAAACUCGUCUCAAGAUGAGUCUUGCCGGGGACUUGAGCCCCCUGAAGAGUCGUCCGAGACCAGGACGUUGAUAGGUCGGGUGUGGAAGCGUAGUAAUGCGUUGAGCUAACCGAUACUAAUUGCUCGUGCGGCUUGACCCU